AACGAACGCUGGCGGCAGGCCUAACACAUGCAAGUCGAGCGAACCCUUCGGGGUUAGCGGCGGACGGGUUAGUAACGCGUGGGAAUAUGCCCAAAGGUACGGAAUAGCCUCGGGAAACUGAGAGUAAUACCGUAUGUGCCCUUCGGGGGAAAGAUUUAUCGCCCUUGGAUUAGCCCGCGUUGGAUUAGGUAGUUGGUGGGGUAAUGGCCUACCAAGCCGACGAUCCAUAGCUGGUUUGAGAGGAUGAUCAGCAACACUGGGACUGAGACACGGCCCAGACUCCUACGGGAGGCAGCAGUGGGGAAUCUUAGACAAUGGGGGAAACCCUGAUCUAGCCAUGCCGCGUGGACGAUGAAGGCCUUAGGGUUGUAAAGUCCUUUCAGCUGGGAAGAUAAUGACGGUACCAGCAGAAGAAGCCCCGGCUAACUCCGUGCCAGCAGCCNCGGUAANGUCGAUAU
rnacentral:rRNA from 1 species